UACGUAGGGUGCGAGCGUUAAUCGGAAUUACUGGGCGUAAAGCGUGCGUAGGCGGUCCGUUGUGUCUGCGGUGAAAUCCCCGGGCUUAACCUGGGAAUGGCCGUGGAAACUGGCGGGCUUGAGUGUGGCAGAGGGGGGUGGAAUUCCGCGUGUAGCAGUGAAAUGCGUAGAGAUGCGGAGGAACACCGAUGGCGAAGGCAACCCCCUGGGCUGACACUGACGCUCAGGCACGAAAGCGUGGGGAGCAAACAGGAUUAGAUACCCUGGUAGUCCACGCCCUAAACGAUGAUCACUGGGUGUUGGGGAAGCGAUUUCUCAGUACCGUAGCUAACGCGUGAAGUGAUCCGCCUGGGGAGUACGGCCGCAAGGUUAAA
rnacentral:rRNA from 1 species